CCGUGAAACUGCGAAUGGCUCAUUAAAUCAGUUAUCGUUUAUUUGAUAGUACCUUACUACUUGGAUACCCGUGGUAAUUCUAGAGCUAAUACAUGCUAAAAACCCCGACUUCGGGAGGGGUGUGUUUAUUAGAUAAAAAACCAACGCCCUUCGGGGCUCCUUGGUGAUUCAUGAUAACCUCUCAGAUCGCACGGCCUUGCGCCGGCGACGGUUCAUUCAAAUUUCUGCCCUAUCAACUUUCGAUGGUAAGGUAUUGGCUUACCAUGGUUUCAACGGGUAACGGGGAAUUAGGGUUCGAUUCCGGAGAGUGAGCCUGAGAAACGGCUCACACAUCCAAGGAAGGCAGCAGGCGCGCAAAUUACCCAAUCCCGACACGGGGAGGUAGUGACAAUAAAUACUGAUACAGGGCUCUUUUGGGUCUUGUAAUUGGAAUGAGUACAAUUUAAACCUCUUAACGAGGAACAAUUGGAGGGCAAGUCUGGUGCCAGCAGCCGCGGUAAUUCCAGCUCCAAUAGCGUAUAUUAAAGUUGUUGCAGUUAAAAAGCUCGUAGUUGAAUCUUUGGCCUGGCUGGUGGGUCCGCCUCACCGCGUGCACUUGUCCGGCCGGGCCUUCUCUUCUGGAGAACCGCAUGCCCUUCACUGGGCGUGUUGGGGACCAGGACUUUUACUUUGAAAAAAUUAGAGUGUUCAAAGCAGGCCUUUGCUCGAAUACGUUAGCAUGGAAUAAUAGAAUAGGACGUGCGGUCCUAUUUUGUUGGUUUCUAGGACCGCCGUAAUGAUUAAUAGGGACAGUCGGGGGCAUCAGUAUUCAAUUGUCAGAGGUGAAAUUCUUGGAUUUAUUGAAGACUAACUACUGCGAAAGCAUUUGCCAAGGAUGUUUUCAUUAAUCAGUGAACGAAAGUUAGGGGAUCGAAGACGAUCAGAUACCGUCGUAGUCUUAACCAUAAACUAUGCCGACUAGGGAUCGGGCGGUGUUAUCGAUUUGACCCGCUCGGCACCUUGCGAGAAAUC
rnacentral:rRNA from 1 species